AUGACACCCUGACUGUACUCCAGGAGGCCGGGUGGCUGAGCGUGACACCCUGACUGUACUCCAGGAGGCCGGGUGGCUGAGCGUGACACCCUGACUGUACUCCAGGAGGCCGGGUGGCUGAGCGUGACACCCUGACUGUACUCCAGGAGGCCGGGUGGCUGAGCGCGACACCCUGACUGUACUCUAGGAGGACGGGUGGCUGAGCGUGACACCCUGACUGUACUCCAGGAGGACGGGUGGCUGAGCGCGACACCCUGACUGUACUCCAGGAGGACGUGUGGGUAAUGAACUGUUCCCUACAAGGUGUGGGUAAUGAACUGUUCACUACAAGGUGUGGGUAAUGAACUGUUCCCCAUGGCCCUACGGGGUGUGGGUAAUGAGUCACCUUGUCAGGCCCUGGAAUGACUUUACUAACAGUGUGGCUGUAGAAUGUUUAGUUGCCAGCCUGUAAAUCCAGGGAGCUGCAGAGUCACCCUGCAUGGAGAUGAACUGUUCCCUACAGGGUGUGGGUAAUGAACUGUUCACUACAAGGUGUGGGUAAUGAACUGUUCCCUACAAGGUGUGGGUAAUGAACUGUUCACUACAAGGGGUGGGUAAUGAACUGUUCCCUACAAGGUGUGGGUAAUGAACUGUUCCCUACAAGGUGUGGGUAAUGAACUGUUCCCUACAAGGUGUGGGUAAUGAACUGUUCCCUACAAGGUGUGGGUAAUGAACUGUUCCCUACAAGGUGAGGGUAAUGAACUGUUCACUACAAGGUGUGGGUAAUGAACUGUUCCCAAUGCCCCUAUGGGGUGUGGGUAAUGAACUGUUCACUACAAGGUGUGGGUAAUGAACUGUUCACUACAAGGUGUGGGUAAUGAACUGUUCCCCAUGGCCCUAUGGGGUGUGGGUAAUGAACUGUUCACUACAAGGUGUGGGUAAUGAACUGUUCACUACAAGGUGUGGGUAAUCGACUGUUCCCCAUGGCCCUAUGGGGUGUGGGUAAUGAACUGUUCACUACAAGGUGUGGGUAAUCGACUGUUCCCCAUGGCCCUAUGGGGUGUGGGUAAUGAACUGUUCACUACAAGGUGUGGGUAAUGAACUGUUCACUACAAGGUGUGGGUAAU